UACGAAGGGUGCAAACGUUGCUCGGAAUUAUUGGGCGUAAAGCGCACGUAGGCGGCUUUGCAAGUCGGAUGUGAAAUCCCUCGGCUUAACCAAGGAAGUGCAUCCGAAACUGGCGAGCUUGAGUACGAAAGAGGAUCGCGGAAUUCCCGGUGUAGAGGUGAAAUUCGUAGAUAUCGGGAGGAACACCGGUGGCGAAGGCGGCGAUCUGGGUCGAUACUGACGCUGAGGUGCGAAAGCGUGGGGAGCAAACAGG
rnacentral:rRNA from 1 species